GACGAACGCUGGCGGCGUGCUUAACACAUGCAAGUCGAACGGAAAGGCCCUGCUUGCAGGGUGCUCGAGUGGCGAACGGGUGAGUAACACGUGGGUGAUCUGCCCCUUACUUUGGGAUAAGCCUGGGAAACUGGGUCUAAUACUGGAUAGGACCAUGCUGUAGGUGGUGUGGUGGAAAGAUUAGUUUCGGUAAGGGAUGAGCUCGCGGCCUAUCAGCUUGUUGGUGGGGUAAUGGCCUACCAAGGCGUCGACGGGUAGCCGGCCUGAGAGGGUGGACGGCCACAUUGGGACUGAGAUACGGCCCAGACUCCUACGGGAGGCAGCAGUGGGGAAUAUUGCGCAAUAGGCGCAAGCCUGAUGCAGCGACGCCGCGUGGGGGAUGACGGCCUUCGGGUUGUAAACUCCUUUCAGCCAUGACGAAGCCCUUGUGGUGACGGUAGUGGUAGAAGAAGCACCGGCUAACUACGUG
rnacentral:rRNA from 1 species